AUACGGAGGAUGCAAGCGUUAUCCGGAUUUAUUGGGUUUAAAGGGUGCGUAGGCGGCCUUGUAAGUCAGCGGUGAAAUUUUGCAGCUUAACUGUAAAAGUGCCGUUGAUACUGUGAGGCUAGGAUUUGGUUGCUGUGGGUGGAAUGUGUGGUGUAGCGGUGAAAUGCUUAGAGAUCACACAGAAUAUCGAUUGCGAAGGCAGCUCACAAAGCCAAGAUUGACGCUGAGGCACGAAAGUGUGGGGAUCAAACAGGAUUAGAUACCCUGGUAGUCCACAAUGUAAACGAUGAUAACUCGCUGUCGGCGAUAUACAGUCGGUGGCCAAGCGAAAGCGAUAAGUUAUCCACCUGGGGAGUACGACCGCAAGGUUGAAACUCAAAGGAAUUGACGGGG
rnacentral:rRNA from 1 species